GUGGGGAAUAUUGGACAAUGGGCGAAAGCCUGAUCCAGCCAUGCCGCGUGUGUGAAGAAGGUCUUCGGAUUGUAAAGCACUUUAAGUUGGGAGGAAGGGUAGUAACCUAAUACGUUGCUACUUUGACGUUACCGACAGAAUAAGCACCGGCUAACUUCGUGCCAGCAGCCGCGGUAAUACGAAGGGUGCAAGCGUUAAUCGGAAUUACUGGGCGUAAAGCGCGCGUAGGUGGUUCAGUAAGUUGGAAGUGAAAUCCCCGGGCUCAACCUGGGAACUGCUUUCAAAACUGCUGAGCUAGAGUACGGUAGAGGUUGGUGGAAUUUCCUGUGUAGCGGUGAAAUGCGUAGAUAUAGGAAGGAACACCAGUGGCGAAGGCGACCACCUGGACUGAUACUGACACUGAGGUGCGAAAGCGUGGGGAGCAAACAGGAUUAGAAACCCGGGUAGUCC
rnacentral:rRNA from 1 species